AUGACUCUGGUGACCCUGCAAGCCAACCCCUUGGUAAACAAAGCAGGACAAACAGCUGGCGUACAAAAAACACUUGCUCAGGGUGACCCCCUGGCCCCAGAUUGUCUGCCUCGGGUUGUGCCUUCACCUCGAUGCGCGGCAACGUAAAAACCCACGAGAAACGUCUUUCCUUAGAACAGCGGGAGAAUAUGAUGGGGCAGGAAAUCUUAGGCCAUGGCUUGGAGGAUAUUGUUGGGCUCAAGCCCAAAGGCGCCCUGACCCAAGUGAAUUUGUUAUCUUGUUUGCUUUACCCUUGAACCUAAAGCUGCACAAACAGAAGGCUUACAAAAUGAGGGGUUCUUGAACUUCGUGUGUGCAUAUUUAUUAAUAGACGAGUGAAAAACCAGCAUUACUCUCAUUCCUGGGAAACUUUCACUCCACCUGCACUUGUGUAACCGGGUCCAAUCAAGCCUGAGUUACAUGAGAACGUGGAUUCUAACUUUAACAAAUACAUAAAGUCAUGACCCUUUUGUUUUGAUAUGCUGCCUGUUCCAGACAGGCAGAAAAGCCACCACUAAAACCAAGAGGUAUACAAGACUUCACAAUUUAUUAAGAAGAUUAGCCGGCUUUAGUUUGUCCACUAAUGAUUAGUCACUGGCUGUGCAUUCUCUUGGAAGCCUCGGAGGUCAGCAGGAGCCAGCCUCCCAGCAGCUGUCAUCCUUGGUGUGACGACAGGCUUCCCCAGAAGAGAGCAGUGGCUGAGUCCCAGGAACCAGCAAGAGCAGACAGGCUUGGCUCGUAGGACAGACUACGUGGCUCCUCAUAGGCAGAGUGGGAAGCAGAGAGGCCAAGCCACAGAGAGGAGCAGCCUCAACAGACACUGGGCACACAAGAAACCAAAGGCUCAGCCUCCCACAGCCUCCUCACACAGGGCAGUCCACGUGGGGAGCAGAGCCACCAAGAACAUCUUCACAGACAAGAUGUGGUGUGGGAACCUUGACCCACCCACACUAGGAAGCUCAGCUUGGCAAAGGAAUUCCCUUUGCUAAGUGAACACCAGGCCAAUCAUACAAAGUCAAGCGACACCAACACAGCUUCUUCCAAUGAAAAAGUUCAAUUUGAAAAUGUUCAUAUUACUCCCAGGCAUUUUACUAAAUGCUUGACCAUGUUAUUCCCAAUUCGCACAGUAAUUCUGCACAAGGAGGUGUCAUUAUCCUCAUCUUAUAGGUAAGGAGAUGGAGGAUCAGAGAAAUUAGGAAACUCACCCAAAGGAUACAACUGGGGGAGGGGCCAGCGCUGUGCACAGCGCAUAAAGCUGCUGCCUGCAGUGCCAGCAUCCCAAAUGGGCACCAGUUCAGGUCCUGGCUGCUCUACUUCUGAUGCAACUCUCUAAAAAUGGCCUGAGAAAGCAGAAGAUGGCCCAAGUCCUUGAGCCCCUGCACCCACAUGGGAGACCCAGAGGAAGCUGCUGGCUCCUGGGUUCGGAUUGGCCCAGCUCCAGCUGUUACAGCCAUUUGGGGAGUGAACCAGCAGAUAAAAGAUCUCUCUCUGCCUCUGCCUCUCUGUAACUCUGCCUUCAAAUAAAUAAAUAAAUCUUUAAAAAAUAAAUAAAGAG
ensembl:lncRNA